UAGGGAAUCUUCGGCAAUGGGGGGAACCCUGACCGAGCAACGCCGCGUGAGUGAAGAAGGUUUUCGGAUCGUAAAGCUCUGUUGUUAAGGAAGAACGAGUGUGAGAAUGGAAAGUUCAUACUGUGACGGUACUUAACCAGAAAGGGACGGCUAACUACGUGCCAGCAGCCGCGGUAAUACGUAGGUCCCGAGCGUUGUCCGGAUUUAUUGGGCGUAAAGCGAGCGCAGGCGGUUAGAUAAGUCUGAAGUUAAAGGCAGUGGCUCAACCAUUGUAGGCUUUGGAAACUGUUUAACUUGAGUGCAGAAGGGGAGAGUGGAAUUCCAUGUGUAGCGGUGAAAUGCGUAGAUAUAUGGAGGAACACCGGUGGCGAAAGCGGCUCUCUGGUCUGUAACUGACGCUGAGACUCGAAAGCGUGGGGAGCGAACAGG
rnacentral:rRNA from 1 species